GUAGUUAGCCGGAGCUUCCUCCCAUGGUACCGUCACUUUCUUCUUCCCAUGGGACAGAGGUUUACAAUCCGAAAACCUUCUUCCCUCACGCGGCGUUGCUGGGUCAGGGUUUCCCCCAUUGCCCAAUAUUCCCCACUGCUGCCUCCCGUAGGAGUCUGGACCGUGUCUCAGUUCCAGUGUGGCCGGCCAACCUCUCAGUCCGGCUACCCAUCGUCGGCUUGGUGGGCUGUUAUCUCACCAACUACCUAAUGGGACGCGAGCUCAUCUUCAGGCGGAUUGCUCCUUUCCCACAAGAACGAUGCCGUUCUCGUGACUAUGCGGUAUUAGCAACAUUUUCACGUUGUUAUCCCCCUCCUGAAGGCAAAUUGCUCACGCGUUACUCACCCGUCCGCCACUAAAAUCUCAUUCCGUCCGAAAACUUCAUGAGAUCUCCGUUCGACUUGCAUGUGUUAAGCACGCCGCCAGCGUUCGUCCUGAGCCAGGAUCAAACUCUGA
rnacentral:rRNA from 1 species